rnacentral:rRNA from 1 species
CGUAGGUGGCAAGCGUUGUCCGGAUUUACUGGGCGUAAAGGGCGUGCAGGCGGCUUGUUAAGUGCAGGGUGAAAGCUCCCGGCUCAACUGGGAGAGGUCCUUGCAUACUGGCGAGCUCGAGGGAGGCAGAGGAAAGUGGAAUUCCCGGUGUAGUGGUGAUAUGCGUAGAUAUCGGGAGGAACACCUGUGGCGAAGGCGGCUUUCUGGGCCUUACCUGACGCUGAGACGCGAAAGCGUGGGGAGCGAACCGGAUUAGAUACCCGGGUAGUCCACGCCGUAAACUAUGGACACUAGGUGUGGGGGGUAUCGACCCCCUCCGUGCCGAAGCUAACGCAAUAAGUGUCCCGCCUGGGGAGUACGGCCGCAAGGCUA